rnacentral:rRNA from 1 species
ACGCACGCUGGCGGCGUGCUUAACACAUGCCAGUCGCACGGAAAGGCCCUGCUUGUAGGGUACUCGAGUGGCGAACGGGUGAGUAACACGUGGGUGAUCUGCCCUGCACUUCGGGAUAAGCCUGGGAAACUGGGUCUAAUACCGGAUAGGAGCCAUUUUUAGUGUGAUGGUUGGAAAGUUUUUUCGGUGUAGGAUGAGCUCGCGGCCUAUCAGCUUGUUGGUGGGGUAAUGGCCUACCAAGGCGGCGACGGGUAGCCGGCCUGAGAGGGUGGACGGCCACAUUGGGACUGAGAUACGGCCCAGACUCCUACGGGAGGCAGCAGUGGGGAAUAUUGCACAAUGGGCGCAAGCCUGAUGCAGCGACGCCGCGUGGGGGAUGACGGCCUUCGGGUUGUAAACUCCUUUCGCUAGGGACGAAGCUUUUUGUGACGGUACCUAGAUAAGAAGCACCGGCUAACUACGUG